AUUUUGAUGAAAUUAUUUGUAGACCAUGGCAAUACAAACAUGUUUUUCCAUCAUGAAUUUUUUGAAUCCAUAAAGCAGAGUUGCCAUGGUCAAUGCAGUCAUUACUUCAUUGUUCAUAUACUAAUUGAAGAAACCAAUCCCUGGUUCAUCAAACAUGGGACAAACAUGGAUGUGUGUGACAGGAUAACAUCACAAUUUACACAAAAAAUGAGGAUCAAAAUGCUCCAAAUCGAGUAGUGUGGCGUCCAUCAUCAGCAAAAUAUGUGGGGAACAAGAAGGAAAAAUGCACAUUGCACGAGUCGUCGCCGGAUCUGACGGAGGUCAUGGGUACCGGGCCGUGCUCCUUGACGUCCUUCUCUCCUCUGUGUCGUCUUCCUUGCGGAGGCACGCAUGGACGCGGUCGUGGGGGCGCCGCUGCUCGUCGCUGCCUAAGCCUCGGUACCGCCGCCCCCACACGCUUCCUCGAGCUUGAGGCUCCCCCAGUAGCCACGUGCUACCGCCGCCGCCCAGCACCUCCGCGGACACCUCCCCCCGGCCGUGGUCGAGCUUCCCUGAACUGGUCUGCCAUGAGUAGUCGCCGCCAUUCCCCCACGAGCAGUCGUCGCCGCUCACCCACCGCAAGCAGCACCUCCGCGGACUCAUCACCCUCCUCUUGGCCCCUGCUAUCCCUCCGGUGGGGGGACCUGGUCAGUGACGGCCCUCGCCGCUGUACUUCUCCAUGUACCGAGCGAGAGGGGUGGGAUUUCAGUCAGAGAGCGGUGGGAAAAAGGGGAUGCAGAU
rnacentral:rRNA from 1 species